AGGAAGUCAUUCUUUAAGACAAAGAUAACGUAAUGCAGUUUUUUUAGCUUGUAUCUUGGAAUCAGUCUGAAUGAGGGAUAAAGUCAAAUGCAUUGUGAAAGCCAAGCCAGGUCCGAAUUCCGGUGAAUCUUGUCCAAAUGAAGGAGCGAGCUGAAUGAAAAGUGAAAGUCAAGCCAUGUCCGAAAUCCUUUGAAUCUUGUCUGAAUUAAGGGAUGAGCCAAUUGUAAAGUGAAAGCCAAGCCAAGUCAAAUCAGAGAGCCAGAGAAUCUUUACCGAAAUCCUAAUUAAGGCGAACAGGAAGUUUCAGCAGAGGGUUCCGAUUUAGCAUCUCCUGGAGUACUAGAGUUAGUUCACACAAGAACAGCCUAUGGACACAAACAAUAGUGCGUGGAAGCCCUGACACCUUACAUAUCUAUAGAAUAACUUAAUGGCCAUCAGUGUCAGGAACACUUUUAUAGCCACUAAAUUGUUUUAAAGGUAUAUUUACCUUGGGGGGGGAGGGAUAUAAUUUCUUAAAGGAACAUUAUUAAAUUUAUUAAAAAUCACUGAUAGGGAUGUCAUCAAUUAAAGAAAAU